rnacentral:rRNA from 1 species
AUUGAACGCUGGCGGCAGGCCUAACACAUGCAAGUCGAGCGGAUGAAGGGAGCUUGCUCCUGGAUUCAGCGGCGGACGGGUGAGUAAUGCCUAGGAAUCUGCCUGGUAGUGGGGGAUAACGUCCGGAAACGGGCGCUAAUACCGCAUACGUCCUGAGGGAGAAAGUGGGGGAUCUUCGGACCUCACGCUAUCAGAUGAGCCUAGGUCGGAUUAGCUAGUUGGUGGGGUAAAGGCCUACCAAGGCGACGAUCCGUAACUGGUCUGAGAGGAUGAUCAGUCACACUGGAACGGAGACACGGUCCAGACUCCUACGGGAGGCAGCAGUGGGGAAUAUUGGACAAUGGGCGAAAGCCUGAUCCAGCCAUGCCGCGUGUGUGAAGAAGGUCUUCGGAUUGUAAAGCACGUUAAGUUGGGAGGAAGGGCAGUAAGUUAAUACCUUGCUGUUUUGACGUUACCAACAGAAUAAGCACCGGCUAACUUCGUG